UUUAACGGCCGCGGUACUUAUAACCGUGCAAAGGUAGCAUAAUCAUUAGUCUUUUAAUUGAAGGCUUGUAUGAAGGGUUUAACAAGAGAAAUACUGUCAUUUUUUAAUAAAAAUUGAAUUUAACUUUUAAGUGAAAAGGCUUAAAUGAUUCAGAGGGACGAUAAGACCCUAUAAAGUUUUAUAAUAAGUAAUUUUUUUCUAAGAUUUUAAAAGUUAGGAUUUAUGUUUUAUUAAGUUGGGGAAAUUUAAGUAUAAUUAUUAUAAUUGCUUGUAUUUUAAUACAAAAUAUUUGAGUAAAAAUUAAAUGGUCCUUAAAUUUUUGGAGAUUAAAAGAUUAAAUUACUUUAGGGAUAACAGCGUUAUUUUUUUUGAGAGUUCUUAUCGAAAAAAGAGUUUGCGACCUCGAUGUUGAAUUAAAAUUUCUAUAUAGUGCAGUUGUUAUAUAAGAAGGUCUGUUCGACCUUUAAAUUUUUACG
rnacentral:rRNA from 1 species